AAUAUUGGGUCAUAUAAAAAAAGACAACUCUGUUCCGCAGAGUAGCUGUUGACAUUAUAGUUGCGCAGGCACUUUGUUGACUCUAGAGAACCUCGGGCCAAUCGCACAUCCCCAUGACGGCGACUUUGCAUUUGGAUGUCAUCCAUAUCAACUUUCGAUUCCAAUUUAUGCACCUACCAUGGUGACCAUGGGUAACGGGGAAUCAGGGUUCCAUUCCGUAUAAGGACCCUGAGAAACGGCUGCCACAUGCAAGGAAGGCAGCAGGCGAGCAAAUGACCCACUCCUGACGCGGGAAGGUAGUGA